AUUGAACGCUGGCGGCAUGCCUUACACAUGCAAGUCGAACGGCAGCACGGGAGCAAUCCUGGUGGCGAGUGGCGAACGGGUGAGUAAUAUAUCGGAACGUGCCCAGUAGUGGGGGAUAACUGCUCGAAAGAGCAGCUAAUACCGCAUACGACCUGAAGGUGAAAGGGGGGGAUCGCAAGACCUCUCGCUAUUGGAGCGGCCGAUAUCAGAUUAGCUAGUUGGUGGGGUAAAGGCCUACCAAGGCAACGAUCUGUAGUUGGUCUGAGAGGACGACCAGCCACACUGGGACUGAGACACGGCCCAGACUCCUACGGGAGGCGGCAGUGGGGAAUUUUGGACAAUGGGCGCAAGCCUGAUCCAGCAAUGCCGCGUGCAGGAAGAAGGCCUUCGGGUUGUAAACUGCUUUUGUCAGGGAAGAAAUCCUCUAGGUUAAUACCCUUGGGGGGAUGACGGUACCUGAAGAAUAAGCACCGGCUAACUACGUGCCAGCCGCCGCCGUAAAAC
rnacentral:rRNA from 1 species